rnacentral:rRNA from 1 species
GGGAAUAUUGGACAAUGGGCUAAGGCCUGAUCCAGCAAUUCCGCGUGAACGAUGAAGGUCUUCGGAUUGUAAAGUUCUUUCGGCAGGGAAGAAAAAAAUGACGGUACCUGCAUAAGAAGCACCGGCUAAUUACGUGCCAGCAGCCGCGGUAAGACGUAAGGUGCAAGCGUUAUCCGGAAUCACUGGGCGUAAAGGGCAUCUAGGCGGCUAAACAAGUCAGGGGUGAAAAGUCAGGGCUCAACCUUGGCCUUGCCUUUGAAACUGUAUAGCUAGAGUAUGGGAGAGGAAGGCGGAACUACAAGUGUAGAGGUGAAAUUCGUAGAUAUUUGUAGGAAUGCCGAUGACGAAGGUAGCUUUCUAGACCAAUACUGACGCUGAAGUGCGAAAGCUAGGGGAGCAAAC